rnacentral:rRNA from 1 species
GACGAACGCUGGCGGCGUGCCUAAUACAUGCAAGUCGAACGCAGUGGGGACGGGUGAGUAACACCUGGGUAACCUCCCAUCAGAGGGGAUAACCCUUGGAAACAGGCGCUAAACCGAUGCUGAUGGAUGGACCCGCGGGGCAUGAGCCAGUUGGUGGGGUAACGGCUCACCAAGGCCACGAUGCAUAGCCGACCGGAGAGGGUGAUCGGCCACACUGGGACUGAGACACGGCCCAGACUCCUACGGUAGGCAGCAGUGGGGAAUUGUCGACAAUGGACGAAAGUCUGAUCGAGCAACGCCGCGUGUGUGAAGAAGGUUUUCGGAUCGUAAAGCUCUGUUGUCAGAGAAGCGUUAUCUAACCAGAAAGCCACGGCUAACUACGUGCCAGCAGCCGCGGUAAUUC